rnacentral:rRNA from 1 species
GAGUGGCGAACGGGUGAGUAAUACAUCGGAACGUGCCCUGUAGUGGGGGAUAACUAGUCGAAAGAUUAGCUAAUACCGCAUACGACCUGAGGGUGAAAGUGGGGGACCGCAAGGCCUCAUGCUAUAGGAGCGGCCGAUGUCUGAUUAGCUAGUUGGUGGGGUAAAGGCCUACCAAGGCGACGAUCAGUAGCUGGUCUGAGAGGACGAUCAGCCACACUGGGACUGAGACACGGCCCAGACUCCUACGGGAGGCAGCAGUGGGGAAUUUUGGACAAUGGGCGAAAGCCUGAUCCAGCAAUGCCGCGUGUGUGAAGAAGGCCUUCGGGUUGUAAAGCACUUUUGUCCGGAAAGAAAUGGCUCUGGUUAAUACCUGGGGUCGAUGACGGUACCGGAAGAAUAAGGACCGGCUAACUACGUGCCAGCAGCCGCGGUAAUACGUAGGGUCCAAGCGUUAAUCGGAAUUACUGGGCGUAAAGCGUGCGCAGGCGGUUGUGCAAGACCGAUGUGAAAUCCCCGAGCUUAACUUGGGAAUUGCAUUGGUGACUGCACGGCUAGAGUGUGUCAGAGGGGGGUAGAAUUCCACGUGUAGCAGUGAAAUGCGUAGAGAUGUGGAGGAAUACCGAUGGCGAAGGCAGCCCCCUGGGAUAACACUGACGCUCAUGCACGAAAGCGUGGGGAGCAAACAGGAUUAGAUACCCUGGUAGUCCACGCCCUAAACGAUGUCAACUAGUUGUUGGGGAUUCAUUUCCUUAGUAACGUAGCUAACGCGUGAAGUUGACCGCCUGGGGAGUACGGUCGCAAGAUUAAAACUCAAAGGAAUUGACGGGGACCCGCACAAGCGGUGGAUGAUGUGGAUUAAUUCGAUGCAACGCGAAAAACCUUACCUACCCUUGACAUGCCACUAACGAAGCAGAGAUGCAUUAGUGCUCGAAAGAGAAAGUGGACACAGGUGC